ACUAGAGUUUGAUCCUGGCUCAGGAUGAACGCUGGCGGCGUGCCUAACACAUGCAAGUCGAACGGAGUUACUUAAUUUGAUCCCUUCGGGGUGACGAUUUUUUAACUUAGUGGCGGACGGGUGAGUAACACGUGAGCAACCUGCCUUUCAGAGGGGGACAACGGCUGGAAACGGCCGCUAAUACCGCAUAACAUACCGAGGCGGCAUCGUCUUGGUAUCAAAGGAGCAAUCCGCUGAAAGAUGGGCUCGCGUCUGAUUAGAUAGUUGGUGAGGUAACGGCUCACCAAGUCGACGAUCAGUAGCCGGACUGAGAGGUUGAUCGGCCACAUUGGGACUGAGAUACGGCCCAGACUCCUACGGGAGGCAGCAGUGGGGAAUAUUGCACAAUGGGGGAAACCCUGAUGCAGCAACGCCGCGUGAAGGAAGACGGUUUUCGGAUUGUAAACUUCUUUUCUUAGUGAAGAAGAUGUGACGGUAGCUAAGGAAUAAGCAUCGGCUAACUACGUGCC
rnacentral:rRNA from 1 species